rnacentral:rRNA from 1 species
GACGAACGCUGGCGGCGUGCUUAACACAUGCAAGUCGAACGGAAAGGCCCUUCUUUUGUGGUGUGCUCGAGUGGCGAACGGGUGAGUAACACGUGAGUAACCUGCCCUUGACUGUGGGAUAACUUCAGGAAACUGGGGCUAAUACCGGAUAGGAUCUCCUGCUGCAUUGUGGGGGUUGGAAAGUUUCGGCGGUUGGGGAUGGACUCGCGGCUUAUCAGCUUGUUGGUGGGGUAGUGGCUUACCAAGGCUUUGACGGGUAGCCGGCCUGAGAGGGUGACCGGCCACAUUGGGACUGAGAUACGGCCCAGACUCCUACGGGAGGAAGAAGUGGGGAAUAUUGCCCAAUGGGCGGAAGCCUGAUGCAGCAACGCCGCGUGCGGGAUGCCGGCCUUCGGGUUGUAAACCGCUUUGGCCUGUGCCGAAGCGUGAGUGACGGUAAUGGGUAAAGAAGCACCGGCUAACUACGUG